rnacentral:rRNA from 1 species
AUGAUAUUCACCCCCUUUACUGGAAUCAAUCACCAUAAGGCAAGUGUUUGUUUUGGUGCUGCAAUGUUACACGAUGAGAAGGCAGAUUCUUACAAGUGGUUGUUUCGCACAUUCUUGAAAGCUAUGGGAGGGGCUGCACCUAGGUUUAUAAUAACUGACGAAUGUAGUAGCAUGGACAAUGCAAUAAGGGAAGUUUUCCCAGCAGCCGCACAUAGGCUAUGCAUGUGGCAUAUUAUGAAUAAGAUCCCGCAAAAGGUUGGCCCUGAUUUGAAGACCGAUGAGGAUUUCCAUGAACGAUUAGGUCGGUGCGUGUGGUCUUCUGAAACUCCUACUGAAUUUGAGGAACGAUGGAGAGAAAUUAUGUCAGAGUAUGGGUUGGAAGAUGAUGAAUGGUUCAGUAAAAGGUUCAGCCUUCGAGAAUCAUGGAUACCAGCUUAUUUCUAA